ACGCACGCUGGCGGCGUGCUUAACACAUGCAAGUCGCACGGAAAGGCCCUGCUUUUGUGGGGUGCUCGAGUGGCGAACGGGUGAGUAACACGUGAGUAACCUGCCCUUGACUUUGGGAUAACUUCAGGAAACUGGGGCUAAUACCGGAUAGGAGCUCCUGCUGCAUGGUGGGGGUUGGAAAGUUUCGGCGGUUGGGGAUGGACUCGCGGCUUAUCAGCUUGUUGGUGGGGUAGUGGCUUACCAAGGCUUUGACGGGUAGCCGGCCUGAGAGGGUGACCGGCCACAUUGGGACUGAGAUACGGCCCAGACUCCUACGGGGGGCAGCAGUGGGGAAUAUUGCACAAUGGGCGGAAGCCUGAUGCAGCAACGCCGCGUGCGGGAUGACGGCCUUCGGGUUGUAAACCGCUUUCGCCUGUGACGAAGCGUGAGUGACGGUAAUGGGUAAAGAAGCACCGGCUAACUACGUG
rnacentral:rRNA from 1 species